rnacentral:rRNA from 1 species
GAUGAACGCUGGCGGCGUGCCUAAUACAUGCAAGUCGAGCGAACGGACGAGAAGCUUGCUUCUCUGAUGUUAGCGGCGGACGGGUGAGUAACACGUGGAUAACCUACCUAUAAGACUGGGAUAACUUCGGGAAACCGGAUCUAAUACCGGAUGAUAUUUUGAACCGCAUGGUUCAAAAGUGAAAGACGGUCUUGCUGUCACUUAUAGAUGGAUCCGCGCUGCAUUAGCUAGUUGGUAAGGUAACGGCUUACCAAGGCAACGAUGCAUAGCCGACCUGAGAGGGUGAUCGGCCAAACUGGAACUGAGACACGGUCCAGACUCCUACGGGAGGCAGCAGUAGGGAAUCUUCCGCAAUGGGCGAAAGCCUGACGGAGCAACGCCGCGUGAGUGAUGAAGGUCUUCGGAUCGUAAAACUCUGUUAUUAGGGAAGAACAUAUGUGUAAGUAACUGUGCACAUCUUGACGGUACCUAAUCAGAAAGCCACGGCUAACUACGUG